AGAGAGAGCAACUUAGUACCACCUUGGAGAUGAAAAUCAUUCUGGAGCUAAGGAAGAAGAGGGUGGAUAGUAAAGGGAAGUAGAAAGAAGAUGAGCGAGUGUAGCUAAAGGGAAAAGAAAGACAGAGCUAAGACUAAGUAUCUUUGAAGCCAGACGAGCCCUUGGUAGACACACUGAAGUCCCAGGAAACAUCGAAAUUCAAAGUGCAUUGGAAGGAAGUGGACUUAACAAAAAGAACAGCUGGUAAGAAAAGAAACAACUUGCUGAGACUCUGAUGAUGAGAUCAAGAAAAAGCUAGCUAGAAUCGGUGGAAACUAAGAUGGCUGACUGGAGUUUGCACAGAACAAGCUUGCUGGCGUCCCAGCCCAAAUUUCCACGUUUCAUACUUACUCCCCCAGAAUUCACACAUGUGACCCAUGAGAUAGCGGGAAGAGACAACUGGACAUGCGCAGGGCCUUCCCAGACCUCCUCUUUCCUUUCACCAAUUACCUAUAUAGUCUCAGAAUCUAUCCCCUGAACCUUUUCUAAUAAAAAUACUGCUUUGAAGCCAGUGCAGGGAAACAGA